CUAAUUAAUCCUUUUUGUAAAAGAGUCUUUAUUUCUGUAAGACAGAUUUCUAAUAUUUUUGAAUUCAUCUGAAUUGGACGUGCUUUUGUUGGUAUUUUAUUUUCAGAAAAUCCUUCUUCAUAUGGAAGAGACACUAUAUGUUUUUGUCUAUUCCAAAAGGCAUUCGGCAAACCACUACAUAUUUCUUUUUCAAAUUGUUGUUUUAGAUUUUCUAUUUUUUAUUUUAUUUCAAGAAGUAAUAGUUGGUUCUCAACUGCUUUAUAUUUUAUCUCAGCUUUGAGCUGAUAUAAAAAAUUCUCUUUAUUUUGUAUAUUUUGUUUUAUAUUAUUUAUUUCUUUUAUCUUUGGUUUAUCAAUAAAUUCAAAUUUCACUUUUAUUCCUUCAAUCAUUAAUUCUAAUCCAAUAUGAUCUAUAACAAUAGGAUAUAGCAUACUGAUAAAAGGAGUGCCUAAAAUAACAGCUUGGUUAAAUUCUUUUACCACGAUAAAUGGUAACUCUAGACAGAUGCCAUUAUUGCAUAUGGCAGCAUUUGAUAAUUUAUAAUUUAUUUUUAAUUUACUUCCAUCAGUUGUAUUUAAAACUUGAGUAGUUUUAUCAAAAUAUUUCGUAGGAAGGAGUCCCUCAUUUAUACAGUUCAAAUCGGCACCUGAAUCUAUCAAGGCCAUGGUUUGAAAAUGGUAUUCAUUUGGACUAUGAUUUUUACUAAGGUAUACCAUUUUUUAUUUAAUAUUUUAUUGAUUAGGUUUAACUGAGGCUCCUGUUUAUUGAUUGAAGAUUCUGGUUGAUCUAUUAUUUUAUCAUUGUUUAGUAGUUCAUCAAAUUCUAUUUCUUCAUCUUCGGAAGGAUUAUCGAUCAACUGAUUGUUUAAUUCUAAUAACUUAAUCCUAUUUUUUAAAUUAUUAAGUUCAGAUUUCACUUCAUUAACUUCGUAUUUUAAUUCAGCAAUAGUAGGUUCUUUAUGAAUGAUUUUUUUCUGACCAAUUCUUUUAAGGAUUUCAGAGAAGCUAAAUUCUUCUGGUGGUUUAAAUAAUGGAGUUGGUUUAUUCCUGGCUUUUUCUAUUUGAAUAUAUUGGCUGAGUAUUGUUCGUUUAUCUUCAGUGUUUGGUAUUUUAUCUAUAAUUUCUAGAAUUAAAUUGUCUUCUUUAGUAAGAGUAUGACAGGCACAUUGGUCGUUUUUUGAAGGUGUCUCAUUUAAUAAAUCUUCAUCUUUUAUUAUUCCUAUGUCUGAUUCUUCAUCUGAAGUUUCUGAAUAUGAGGAAGAAGUUGUACUAAUAUCAUUAUCUUUAUCAUAUAAUUGAAUAAUUUCAUAUAAUUGAUUUCGUACAUUUUCAUCUAAUAUUAGAAAUUCUAUCUUCUUUUUUACAUUACAAUUAUUUUUAUAGUGUCCUAAUUUUUCACAUUUAUAGCAUCUAGGUAUUUUUCUUUUAUGACUUUUAUAUUUAGAAUUUUCUUUAGGAUUUUGUUCAUAUCUUUUGUAUUUAUUUUCCUUAUAUCCUUUUUUGUAGGAUUUAUGUCUCUUUUCUGGUUUUAUUCGUUUCUGAGGUUUAUUUUAAGAAAGAUUUAGAUUAUAUCCGAAUUGUUCACAAAAAUCACCAAGUUCUUUAUGACUAGUCAUCUUUUGUUUAUCUAGUUGUCUUUUGAGUUUUAAGUCAGUACAAAAGGCUAAGCCUUCUGCACAUAUUUCGACUGAUAAUUCGCCGAGAGUAUAGAGUGAAUAUGGUAUGAUCCCCCCAUUUUUGGUCUUAAGUCGAAUGCGGACUUUUUCAGCAAAGAGAUAGGGAAGACCAGAAAUAAAUUUUUCUUUCCAAUGAUCGGCACUACUAUCUUCACGAAUAAGAAGACGAGAGAAGAAAACAUCUUUAUACCAUUUAUAGUGAGAAAGAGUUGGACAUUUAAGAUUAGAAAGGAGGUCUUCUGAUCUAGCUUCUAAUAGGGCAGUACUUCCAACAAAGUGUAAGGUUGAGGGUAUUAACAGCAUCGUUGUCGGCUUGGACAAUGUCUUGAUUGAAUUUAUUUUUUAUAUAUGAUUGUUUAGUGGCAGUUAAUAUUUGUUGUUUCGAUGUAUCAUUAAGAUGGAAGUCCCACCAUCCUCUGAGCCAACCAGUAAAUCCACAGAUAAUAGCUUUGGCUACAUCUUGGUCAUGGGCUCCAAAGACCUUGCAUGCAGUGGCAUACAUGGUCAUGUGUUUCAUUGUAUCAAGAACCUGAAGUUCAGACAUUUCGUCUAUAUUCCAAUUAACAAUAGUUUUUCCUGAAUAAGAUACAGUAUGGGAUAUAAGGUCUUCUUCAAAUUGUAUAUCAACUGGGGUAGGUCUAUGAUGGUACAUUCUAGAUUGAGAUGUGAGUCUCAUUUUUCUACCAUAAUCUAUUCGGUUGAUAUUAUCUUCUUAAAUAAAAGCAUUUUUUAUAUUAGAAAUAGUAUUAUGAAUUUCAAGUAUUUCUUGUAACACCAUAGCUUCUGGUUCUGUUAUCUUUAUGGAUUCUUGAAUUUUAGUUUUUCCUUUAACCUGGAUAUCUAGAUUCGAUAAUUUGGUAAUUAAUUGCUGCAUUAAUUCAGAAGGAUGUUCUUCUUUCAUUUGAAAUCCUUCUUUAUUAAUUAAAGGAGGAGGUUUAAAUAAUAUUGCUUUUUUCUUUUCUUCAAUUUUUUCUUGAGGUUGCCUAAUAAUAUUUUCGAUCCUGGUGGUCUGUUUUCCUAUAUGGUUUGUAAACAUAAAUUUGUAUAAUUAUUUUGUUCUAAUAUAUGAGGUAAUAAUUCUAUUUUAUGAUAAUGUUCUCCCGGAAGUGUUUUAUAUGGAGUAGCUAUAGUUUCUAAUUCUUCUUUUCCUUGGAUUUUUAUACUUUCUUCACGAGGAUGAAUACUUCGAAUCUGUUUCUUUUAACCAGUAAUAUAUGUUUGAUAUUGAUUUUCAAGGGUAUGAAGUUUAUUGUAUUCAGGGAUUUUUACUCUUUUUAAAAGUAAUGUAGUUUUAAGCCCUUCAAAAAAUCCUAAGUUUAUUUUUUCCUUUUUUAAGAAUUGAUUAUAUUUUUUAUGAGUCAUGUGAAUUAAUUCUUUUGAGAAUGUAGAUAAGUACCAAUUUCGAAAGUCUUUGUUGUUUUCGCUUAAAUAAUCGUUUUUUAUAUAAUCUUUAUUUAUUUUAUCUUUCUUUUGCAAUGUUAACAAUUGAAAAUGUUGAUCUGGAGUAUUAGUACUUAGUGGAUGAUAUACAGGUUUGUGUAUAUUAUCCUGAGUUCUAAUUAAUCCUUGUAUUUCAAGUUCUGAAGAUGAUGCAAUGUCAGGUCUGGAUAUACUAGAUACAGAUCUUCUAGAUGAUAAGAAAUUGGCAGAAUUUCUGGACAAGGAAGAUAAUUAUCGUCUUUUAUUUUUAAAGAAGGAAUUCUUUUAUUGAAUAAUAUUUCUACUUCUCCAUCCAUAUUUUCAAUUAUUUAAUUCGGAAUUUUAUUUUGGCGAGUUUUAAUUGCAGGAUUUGAAGUCUGAAUUUUCCAUUCUUGUGGAAGUUGUAUUUGUGACCAUUGUAUUGUUUUAAGAAUAAUAACAUUUGAUCUUUCAGUAUUUGUUUGAAAGAAAGUAGUUUGUCCUUUUGUGUCUAUUUGUAUAACAUUUGGACUUAAAGUGGUCAUUACUUUAUAAUAUAUUCGAUAAAUGAUAGCUAUAUUUUGUGAUCCGUGUAACAUAUCAAAUCCUUGAGUUUUAAUAUUUAAAGUUAGUACUUUAAGUAAAUUAGGGUCAUGUAAUGAUAUAGCAUAAUUAGGAAAGCAUUAUAUUUUACAGUAUUGAGAAAAAUAUUUAGAUGUUUAAAGUGUUGAUGAAUAUCAGUUGAAAAAAUAAGAACAUCAUCAAUAUAAACUAGCUUAUAUGUCAUAUGAGGGUUAAAAACUUCAUUCAUAAUUUUUUGAAAUUCAGAUGGUGCAUUCUUUAGACCGAAUGGCAUUACAUUCCAUUCGUAUUGACCAAAUGGAACAUUGAAGGUUGUUUUAUAGCGAUCUUUUUCAUUUAUUUGUAUUUGCCAGUAACCUUAUUUAAGAUCAAAUUUUGAAAAAAUGCAAGCAUUUACUAACCUAUCUAAUAAAUCUUUUUUAUUAGGGAUAGGAUAUCUGCUCCAUUUGAGGACUUUAUUUAAUGGUUUAUAAUUAAUAACUAAUCUUGGAACUCCUCAUUCCUUUUCAGCAUUAUUUUCUACAUAAAAGGCGGCACAACUCCAUGGAGAUGAGCUUGGCCUAAUUAAUCCUAUUUGUAAAAUAGACUUUAUUUUUGUAUGACAGAUUUCUAAUAUUUUUGAAUUCAUCUAAACUGGACGUGCUUUUGUUGGUAUUUUAUUUUCAGAAAAUCCUUCUUCAUAUGGAAGAGACACUAUAUGUUUUUGUCUAUUCCAAAAGGCAUUCAGCAAAUCACUACAUAUUUCUUUUUCAAAUUGUUGUUUUAGAUCGUGCUGCAGAGAGUAUGACAGGCACAUUGGUCGUUUUCUGAAGAUGUCUCAUUUAAUAAAUCUUUAUCUUUUAUUAUUCCUAUGUUUGAUUCUUCAUCUGAAGUUUCUGAAUAUGAGGAAGAAGUUAUACUAAUAUCAUUAUCUUUAUCAUAUAAUUGAAUAAUUUCAUAUAGUUGAUUUCGUACAUUUUCAUCUAAUAUUAGAGCUUCUAUCUUCUUUUUUACAUUACAAUUAUUUUUAUAGUGUUCUAAUUUUCAACAUUUAUAGCAUCCAGGUAUUUUUCUUUUAUACCUUUUAUAUUUAGAAUUUUCUUUAGGAUUUUGUUCAUAUCUUUUGUAUUUAUUUUUCUUAUAUCCUUUUUUGUAGGAUUUGUGUCUCUUUUCUGGUUUUAUUCGUUUAUGGGGUUUAUUUUGAGAAAGAUUUAAGAUUAUAUGCGAAUUGUUCACAAAAAUCACCAAGUUCUUUAUGACCAGUCAUCUUUUGUUUAUCUAAUUGUCUUUUGAGUUUUAAGUCAGUACAAAGGGCUAAGCCUUCUACACAUAUUUCGGCUGAUAAUUCGCCGAGAGUAUAGAGUGGAUAUGGUAUGAUCCCCCCAUUUUUGGUCUUAAGUCGAUUGCGGACUUUUUCAGCAAAGAGAUAAGAGAGACAAGAAAUACAUUUGUCUUUCCAAUGAUCGGCACUACUAUCUUCACGAAUAAGGAGACGAGAGAAGAAAACAUCUUUAUACCAUUUAUAGUGAGAAAGAGUUGGACAUUUAAUAUUAGAAAGGAGGUCUAGCUUCUAGUAAGGCAGUACUUCCAACAAAGUGUAAGGUUAUUGUGUAGAUGAGGGUAUUAAUUAAGUCAGUACAAAGGGCUAAGCCUUCUGCACAUAUUUCGGCUGAUAAUUCGCCGAGAGUACAGAGUGGAUAUGGUAUGAUCCCCCCAUUUUUGGUCUUAAGUCGAUUGCGGACUUUUUCAGCAAAGAGAUAGGGAAGACCAGAAAUAAAUUUUUCUUUCUAAUGAUCGGCACUACUAUCUUCACGAAUAAGGAGAAGAAAGAAGAAAACAUCUUUAUACCAUUUAUAGUGAGAAAGAGUUGGACAUUUAAGAUUAGAAUAAAACCGAAAUUCAAAUUUAUUGAUAAACCAAAUAUAAAAGA
rnacentral:lncRNA from 1 species